rnacentral:lncRNA from 1 species
GCUCAUUUUACAGCGACAUUACCUACAAAUACCGUACAAGUGGGUGUAGGAAAUGUAGUCCGAUACAGUGUAAUCGUUGAUCAUCCAUGAAAUGAAUAUGAUGCCACGACCGGUACCUUUACAGUUCCAACAACUGGUGUUUACUCAUUAUCUGUGUCCAUGAUGUCAGGCCUUCUAUCCUCCCACCUUACUCUAAGGAAGACUCGGCAGAUUUUCGUGUGGCUAUACACUGUAAAAGAAUUAUGAUAUGGCAUCCCAAACUAUCAAUGUUCAACUGACAGACGGCAACCUAAUUACUGUACAAAUGAACUCUGGAGCGUAUAACACUUUUAUCGCAGCUUUGAUACCCAUAAGCUAAAGAUAUAUAUGGCCCG